rnacentral:rRNA from 1 species
CCUACGGGAGGCAGCAGUAGGGAAUAUUGCUCAAUGGGGGAAACCCUGAAGCAGCAACGCCGCGUGGAGGAUGAAGGUUUUCGGAUUGUAAACUCCUUUUGUUAGAGAAGAUAAUGACGGUAUCUAACGAAUAAGCACCGGCUAACUCCGUGCCAGCAGCCGCGGUAAUACGGAGGGUGCAAGCGUUACUCGGAAUCACUGGGCGUAAAGGGCGCGUAGGCGGGAUAGCAAGUCAGAUGUGAAAUUCUAUGGCUUAACCAUAGAAUUGCAUUUGAAACUGUUAUUCUAGAGUAUGGGAGAGGUAGGUGGAAUGCUUGGUGUAGGGGUAAAAUGCGUAGAGAUCAAGCAGAACACUCAUUGCGAAGGCAACCUGCUAGAACAUAACUGACGCUGAUGCGCGAAAGCGUGGGGAGCAAACAGGAUUAGAUACCCGAGUAGUC